rnacentral:rRNA from 1 species
CAGUAGCCACGGUAAUACGUAGGGUGCGAGCGUUAAUCGGAAUUACUGGGCGUAAAGCGUGCGCAGGCGGUUGUGUAAGACAGGUGUGAAAUCCCCGGGCUUAACCCGGGAACUGCGCUUGUGACUGCACAGCUAGAGUAUGGCAGAGGGGGGUGGAAUUCCACGUGUAGCAGUGAAAUGCGUAGAGAUGUGGAGGAACACCGAUGGCGAAGGCAGCCCCCUGGGCCAAUACUGACGCUCAUGCACGAAAGCGUGGGGAGCAAACCGGAUUAGAUACCCCCGUAGUCCCUGUCUCUUAUAC